UACAGGGAGACCUACCCCUUUGGAGAAGGCAGAAGACAGGAAGAGGAAGCAGAAAAAACUGCUUUUGAAUGCCUGAAAUCACAAGCAAGAAAAGCUCCUUCCCGAAGAGGUCAUCCUAGGUCGGUCGCCAGCAGAUUGGGAGCAAGGCUUUCGAACUAUAAGAUGGUUCAGGAAGAACACGUAAAUAGGGGCUAUUAGCUCAGGUGGUUAGAGCGCACCCCUGAUAAGGGUGAGGUCCCUGGUUCGAGUCCAGGAUGGCCCACCUAGGAAUAAGAAUAGUUUUAAAUUAUUGGCUUUAAGUUUUAAAUGAAUAAUUUAGAACUUAGAACCUAUAACUCAAAUCUAUUCCUUGACAAGUGAGCUAUUACUAGCCCCUAGAAGUGUGAUACACUAGAGAGGUUGAUGAUUCAGCACCGAGAUGGAGAGGGAAAAACCCAUCCGCAUGCUGGAUAGCAUCCAGUCAGGACCUUGAAAACUGCAUAGUAAUUUGUCAAAUGUAAUGAGAGUGCAUGAGUCUAUCAGUUGAAGAACUGGUAGUUGAAUGCAUCAAUUGCAGGUAGACACCAAUGUUUAAUUGU
rnacentral:tRNA from 1 species